rnacentral:rRNA from 1 species
GGUGACAUGUGGAGCUGACGAAUACUAAUAGAUCGAGGACUUAACCAUAUA